rnacentral:rRNA from 1 species
UACGAAGGGGGCUAGCGUUACUCGGAUUGACUGGGCGUAAAGGGCGCGUAGGCGGUUUGUACAGUCAGACGUGAAAUUCCUGGGCUCAACCUGGGGGCUGCGUUUGAUACGUGCAGACUUGAGUUCGGAAGAGGGUCGUGGAAUUCCCAGUGUAGAGGUGAAAUUCGUAGGUAUUGGGAAGAACACCGGUGGCGAAGGCGGCGACCUGGUCCGAUACUGACGCUGAGGCGCGAAAGCGUGGGGAGCAAACAGG